AAACGGGGAAAAGAAACCAACAGGGAUUGCCCUAGUAACGGCGAGUGAAGCGGCAACAGCUCAAAUUUGAAAGCUAGCCUUCGGGUUCGCAUUGUAAUUUGUAGAGGAUGAUUUGGGGAAGCCGCCUGUCUAAGUUCCUUGGAACAGGACGUCAUAGAGGGUGAGAAUCCCGUAUGUGACAGGAAAUGGCACCCUAUGUAAAUCUCCUUCGACGAGUCGAGUUGUUUGGGAAUGCAGCUCUAAAUGGGAGGUAAAUUUCUUCUAAAGCUAAAUAUUGGCGAGAGACCGAUAGCGCACAAGUAGAGUGAUCGAAAGAUGAAAAGCACUUUGGAAAGAGAGUUAAAAAGCACGUGAAAUUGUUGAAAGGGAAGCGCUUGCAAUCAGACUUGUUUAAACUGUUCGGCCGGUCUUCUGACCGGUUUACUCAGUUUGGACAGGCCAGCAUCAGUUUCGGCGGCCGGAUAAAGGCUCUGGGAAUGUGGCCUCCACUUCGGUGGAGGUGUUAUAGCCCAGGGUGUAAUACGGCCAGCCGGGACUGAGGUCCGCGCUUCGGCUAGGAUGCUGGCGUAAUGGUUGUAAGCGACCCGUCUGAA
rnacentral:rRNA from 1 species